rnacentral:rRNA from 1 species
GACGAACGCUGGCGGCAGGCCUAACACAUGCAAGUCGAACGCCCCGCAAGGGGAGUGGCAGACGGGUGAGUAACGCGUGGGAACCUUCCCAAUGGUACGGAAUAGCCCAGGGAAACUUGGAGUAAUACCGUAUACGCCCGAAAGGGGAAAGAUUUAUCGCCAUUGGAUGGGCCCGCGUUGGAUUAGCUAGUUGGUGAGGUAAUGGCUCACCAAGGACGAUCCAUAGCUGGUCUGAGAGGAUGAUCAGCCACACUGGGACUGAGACACGGCCCAGACUCCUACGGGAGGCAGCAGUGGGGAAUAUUGGACAAUGGGCGCAAGCCUGAUCCAGCCAUGCCGCGUGAGUGACGAAGGUCUUCGGAUUGUAAAGCUCUUUUGGCGGGGACGAUAAUGACGGUACCCGCAGAAUAAGCCCCGGCUAACUUCGUGCCAGCCGCCGCAGUAACAC